rnacentral:lncRNA from 1 species
GUAAAAAAAAAAAAAUUCCAGCUGGGUGCAGUAGCACUUUUCUAUAAUCUCAGUGCCCCAGGAGGCUAAGGAAGGAGGAUCACUGAAAGAACUGAAACCGAGAUAUGGAGUUACCCAUAGGAGAAGUCCGUUUAUUCCAGUACAGCAGAGCUUUUUAUCCAGGGUAGGCAGAGCCCCUUAGGACAGGAGGCAAAUUCUCAUUGGAUUACAGUCAUUAGAAUGGUUUUGUCAGUCGCCCAUUGGUGACUUAUUGGCACCUUAAUCUGCAUAAAGUGGGAAACAGACCCAGAAGAGAAGCCUAGUCAGCACCAUCUUGGGGCAGGUAACCCAAUAUUUUCCCCUUUUUAGUUUAAUAAUGGGUGUAGGGUCAGAGUUCGUUCUGACUGCUUCCUGCUGAGCAGGGGCGUUGCCAGGAAGGGGCGGGGAGAACACUGGAUUACCCUGAGGUUAAUCCCCAAAGCAGCACCAAAAAACUAAAGACUUCUGAUGGGGCCAAAAAAAGUACCCUGAAACCAUAGGUCCUGGAUCACGUCCCACUAAUCUUCCUCAGUGUUCAUGGCGAAGGGCAUCCAAAAAGGUUUUCCAUGGAUCUGCCAUUUAGCAGGCCGUGAGUUGAGUGGUAGAAGACUGAUCAGGAUCUUCUGAGGCCAGUAGUUGGUAAUUCCUAAGAAGGAGCUGGUUAAAAGAUUGGUUAGAGAUUUUUGCUAUCUGAUUUUGAGCAAAUUUAAUCAUACAAGGGAGAAAGAGGCAGGCCAACAGAAUAAUGGAGAGCGGUCCCAUUAUUGGCCACAUCCAUGUCAAGAGGGGUGACUGGAGCCAGAAGGAAAAAGAAGAGGUUUGGGAUGUCUUCCUUAAGCCUGCUGCCAGAUCAUUAAGUUUAUUGAUGUUUUGUUAAGUAUCCAUUAGGAUCUGGAGCCAAGAGUAAGACAUUGUGAGUGAAGAAGAGGCUGAAGAGGAAGAGGAGUCUCGAAUUGCCUAUAUGAUAACCUCUUCUGAAUGCAGAAUGUCAGAGGACACUCGAGAAACUUGAGAUAGAAGAAGGCGGUGACCCCUGCAGCCCAUUGUGGGUCCCAUGGGUCCUUGAUGGUGAUGUUAUAUUUUUGAAUCUGGCUAACAUAGGAGCAUAUUCCCAUGUUUAAUUGGCCUGAAUAUGGACAUCCCCCAUAUACCUCUGGCCACCAACGGCAUUGUUCAUCCCAUUGAUCAUAUAGGAAACAAAGGUAUGGCCUUGAGGACUGCUGAAUAAGUUUUGUUGAGGCAGGUAAGGAUAAGUACUCAGUGUCAGAGCAACCAUGCAGGGGGCAGUCUGCCGUUGCGUUUAGGGCUGUAGUUUUAGUAUUUUUUUAAGUAUAGGUUUGUCUAGCCUUAAAUCUCCAGACAUAAGGGGAAGAAGAGACCAUAAGAAUAAGGCUUAUGAGAGUUAAGAAAAGGAGCGGCUUAGAAACCCAGGGGUUCAUUUUCCAAUAUGGGUUCAAGAAGCGCGACCUGAGACAGAUGGAGCUUAGACUGCGCCGCAUGCAGAUAAAUCCUAGGUCGGCUUGAGCCUGGAAAUAUGAAUUCAAGGAGUUAAUUGGUUAUUAGGGAGCACUAGCCUGGGUGCAGUUGGAAUACAUAAUACAACUUGUGUUGGACCUUCCCACUUUGAUAGUAAGGGACCCUUGUCUCCUGGCAGAUUAAAGAGGGCAGAUUGGCCAGGUGACAUGGAGAGAGGGAUCUGGGAGGUUUCCAGAUCUGGAAGAAGCCAGUCCUGAUGUUUCCAGAUCUCAGCAUGGAGAUGAGUAAGAAGUGGUAACGCAUAGCGACUGGGGAUGGGCCAAGAUGAUGGGGUAAGGCCCGGAGAAGGAUUGGGCUUCCAUAUAUGACCUCAAAGGGAGAGAGAGAUGACGGCUUCUUAGGUAGGGCUUGCAGGAGAAGGGCUAAAGGAAGUAGUUUAGUCCUUUAAGUCCAUGACAAAAAAGUGGGUGGUUACGGUAGGAAUUUGUGACAAAAGGGUAUAGGAGUUGGGAACCAGCGGGUGGAUGGGUUUAAUAGUGGAAUUAAUGAGGUGAUGAUCUUGAACCAGGCGGUAAGUGCCAUUAGGCUUUUUUACUGCCAGUAUGGGGGUGUUGAAUGAUGAAUGUGUGGGCCUAAUGUAUCCUUAUUAGUCUUUUAUGAUUGGCUCUAAGCUAAUGAGAGCUGCUGUAGAUAAAGGAUAUUGGGGCUGGCUGGGGAAGUAGGAGGGAUCCUUAAGUUGCGCCAAAAUGGGUGGGCAAUUUACCCUGGAUGGACUUUGAAUGUCCCAUAUUAUGGGAUCCACCAGGUGUAGGAAAGCGUCUUUCAGAGUGGGCUUCUAUUGAUGUAUCACAUUGAGAGCAGAAGGGGAGCGUAAAAUCUUCAGGCAGAAGUGUUAAAAGGAAGGAGGGCAUGGAUGAGAUUGGCAAUUGGACGGAGAGUGUAGCUCGGAGAGUGGAAAUAAUAUCUUCCCAGAAGGGGUACAAGACAUUGAGGCAUAACCAAGAAAGAAUGGGUGAAUGGGAACUUUUCUAUGGAACAAGUGGGGGGGUUUAUGAGGAAUGAUGGUCUUCCCUCCUACCCCAUCAAUAGGAGAAGAUGAAGGGAACGUGGGACCCCAAUAUUCCCUCAGGACUGAAAACGUGGCUCUGGUAUCUAUGAGGAAACUAAUAGAGUGCCCUUCUACAUAAAUUUGUACCCUAGAUUCUUGCCUGCUGAUGGUAACAGUCGGGGAGGAGGACCCAGGACCUCAUCAAUCAUUGAGUGCAAGACCCAGGAGGUCAGAGCCAGGGUGUUUGACCGCAUUCCUCCUUCGGGGAUUGGGACAAUCCGACCCCCAACGGCCCAUCUGUUGGCACUUCGGACAAGGCGUUGGAGUCCUCGGGGUUGGGCAGGCCUUUGCCCAGUGACCCUCUUUACCGCAUUUAAAGCAGGCACCCAGAGGACUCUUACCCCAGAAGGGCAGUGGUCAUUGAGCUUGUGGAGCCUUUUGUAAGACCGGGGCCAGCAUUUGAAAUUUUUGGUGUUCAAAUUUUUCAGAUCUCUGAUGCUUGAGGUGCUCAGCCUCCUUAUCCCGGUUAUGAUAUACUUUAAAGGCUAUGGCCAAAAUUUCGGUCUGAGGAGUUGCAGGAUCCUGUUCCAAUUUCUUCAAUUUAGCUUUUAUGUCGGGGUAGCUUUGGGAUAGGAAGUACGUCAUAAGGACACGUCUCCCAUCUGGAGACUCAGGAUCUAAAUUUGUAUAUUGUUGGAGGGCUUUUGUAAGGCACUCCAGGAACUCUGAAGGAGUCUCUUCCCUUUUCUGAAUAACUUCCUGAAGUUUUUGAAAGUUGACUGCUUUUCUAGAGGCCUUCUUAAGGCCUACAAUAAUACAUGUUGCAAAUUGGUCCCUCAAUUGGAGUCCAGCCACAGUAUUAUAGUCCCAGUUCAGUUCCUGGUCUGGGACCGCAUGGGGACCAGUUAGGGUGAUUAGGGUUAACUAGGUGGGUCCCAUCUGCAUGGGCCGGAGCCAAGUCCUAUACCCUUCUACAUUCCCCAGGGAGUAAUGUAUUGGCCAGGAUCAUGUAUAUAUCUUGGUGGGUGAGACUAUAGGCUUGUAAGACCCACUGAAAUUCUCUAAUAUAAGUAGUGGGGUCAAUGGUGUAAGAUCCCAGCCUCUUUUCAAGCUGUGUGAGAUCGGACAUAGAGAAGGGAACAUGGACAUGCACAAUGCCUUCAGAUCCAGCCACUUCACGUAAAGGGGCCAUAGUAAGGGGUUGACUAGAAGGAUUAUGAAGCGUGAGAGAUAGGGUUGUGGGGGGGGGCUGAAAGAGUGGGCUGGGGGUGAAGGGGAAAGUGGAGGUGGGGCAGAAGGCUGGGGUGCAGAAGAUGGUGAAGGACGAUAAGGGGGUGGUUCCUCAGCCAGGUCAAAAGAAGAUACAAAAGAAUCACCAGGAGGUGAGGGGACAGGCUUAUAGGCUAAGAGGACUUGUUGAGGACUGCAUGUGGAGGAAAGUUUGGGAUGGGUACGAAGAAGGGAAAAGGCUUCAACAUAAAGGAUCUCCUUCCACUUUUUUGAGCGCUCGCAGUAGUUGAACAAGUCACGAAGAAUUUGGGGAUCUAAGGACCCUUCAGCAGACCAUUUACUGAGAUUGUCCAAAGGAUAGUAUAGCCAGUCUUGAGUGCAAAAUUUGAUUAAUAAUUUAGGCUUAAUGUCUAGAGCAAAGGACAGACAGUUCAAAUUGUAAAGAAGGCAUUUUAGAGGGGAGUCAUUCGGAAGGGAAGAAGAGGCCCCCAUGGUGAGGACAGAGGAGAACAAGGAAAGUCAAGGAGAAGAAACUCUGGACCGGAAUUACAAAUGGGACCCAGUUGGGCGUCCCCAAGAGGUAUUUCUGUUUGACGGACUCAUUAGAGUGUGAAACUGGAGGAGCAGUUGGGUCAUCACCCAAGGGCUCUUCCCGUAGGGUGGAAAUGCCAGAGGUCUCGGAGCACUUGGCACUAGGCAUUUGUCGGAGAAGGAGAGGAGAGAGAGAGAGAGAGACUGGGAAGGAGGGGUCUGUUCUUCCCUCUGAUUUCGUUAGGGUAAGGCAGGUACUGUCUUGGGAAAUGACCUAGGAGACCACUGUGGUCAUGAAGACCUAGGUGGGGUGAAUUCUCCUCCCACAGCCAAGCGUCGGAGUUGCCUAAUGAUCAUGGUUCUCUGCAAUAGCAAGACCCAGGUGGUCACUUCAUAGGGGGCCCCACUCACCUAGAGAUCGGCUGGUGUUGGUCCGGAAGAAGCAAGCCCUCGAGAAGGUGGAUGAGGAGGAGAAACUCUGGUAGGUUUGAAUUGGGAGGGGUCCUAAGGGAGAGAUUGUCCCCUCCCCAGGAGAGAAAGAACUGAAACUGAGACAUGGAGUUACCCAUCUAAGAAGUCCGUUUAUUCCAGUACAGCAGAGCCUUUUAUCCAGGGUAGGCAGAGCCCCUUAGGACAGGAAGCAAAUUCUCAUUGGAUUACAGUCAUUAGAAUGGUUUUGUCAUUUGCCCAUUGGUGACUUAUUGGUGCCUUAAUCUGCAUAAAGCGGAAAAUGGACCCAGAAGAGAAGCCUAGUUGGCGCCAACUUGGGGAGGGUAACCCAAUAAGUUUGGAGCCCUAAGCAACGUAGUGACCCUGUCUCAAAAUAAAAAGGACUGGGGAUUUAACUUGGUGGUAAAGUGCCCUUGGGUUCAAUUCCCAGUACAAAAUAAAAACAAAACCAAAAAUAAUUCCCCUACUCCAAAAAAUAUUCCAACCUUGACACACACACACACACACAUACAUUAUGCUGAACCAUUUGAAAGCAAGCUGCACAUUAUAACAUUUCUGCUUCAAAUAAUUCAUUAUUGUAUCUCCUUAUAUAACAUUUCUGCUUAGACAUAGCAUCAUGAUCACACCAAAGAAAACAAACUAUUAUUUCAUAAUAUAAUAAAAUCUACAAAUUUAUGUGAUUUAUAACUUUUGCAAAAUGAAAAUGCAAAACUUUGUAACAACAAAAGAAAAUAAUCUCUUUUUUAAAAAUCAGAUUUUUAUAAUCAACAUGAAUUGUUCCCAUCAAUUUUAUUAUUCAAGGGAUUUAGGAAAGCUGCUUUUACUGGCUGCUCUCCUGGGCGUUUCAGGUUGAAAUUUAAAGUGUUUUUAAGUCAAACAGCUCAUAUAUUCUGUGAAGUAUUGGUGGUAGUAGUAUUGUUUGCUGUAGGUAUUGGCUGGACAAGACAGGAUACUGUAUAAUCUUUAUAUUCAAAAUUAUUUCUGAUAUCUCAAAUAGUAUUUGCUGCUGCUGUUGUUGGAGAUUGAACUCAAGGGCUCAUGCAUAUGUUCUACCAGUGAGUUACUCUCUCAGCCUCAUAUAAUUUUUAAAGCUAGAUGGUACUUGGUAGUGUGUUAUGUUAGCCCUUGUAACACUUUUGAGUAUGACUAAAAUUUUUCAUAAUAAAAAAUGUAUGUAUGUAUUUAUGUAUGUAUACAUCACUAUAAUAAUAGAUUUGACUCAUGACUUCUACUAAGACAAAACUGUGUUUACGAUAUCUUGGGAAAGUUAAAAUUUAGAUGUGAAAACUGUGUGUUUGCAUGGACUUUUAGAAGAAGAAACAUAGCAGUUAAGUCAAACAAAACACAGAAAGAAAGAUUGGUUUAAAAAUUUGAAUGGAUUUUGAGAAAAGGCUGCUUUAUUCUUUGGGAGUUUUGUUUUUGUAAACAUUUCAUUUUUUGUGGGAUGUGAAUCAUGUGUUGGAAUCCCCUGAUUUAGCUGUGGCAUAACUAAGUCUAGAAGGUUUGGGGGAGGCUCUGUUUUUAAAAUUCCCCACUACCAAUCAUGAUUAUGGUUACAUGAGAUUUGUGUCUUGAAAAAAGAGAUGUGUCCCCAAACUCUGGAAUUUUUAACCAUGUACUUUGUAAGCUCAUCUUUGUUCUGUUUGAGCCAUAAUGUUAUGUCUGCUUUUACCACAAUCAUAUGGAUAAGGGACUAGCAGGCCAGGCCUUCUUCCAUCAUGAAACAGGGUAGAAUCUGCUUUUUUUUUUUUUUUUUUUUCUUUUGGUACUAGAGUUUGAACCCAGAAGUGCUUAAACACUGAGCCACGUCCCCAGCCCUAUUUUAUUUUGAGACAGGGUCUCUCUAAGUUGCUGAGGCUAGUCUCAAACUUGGGAUCUUCCUGCCCUAGCCUCUUGGGUUGCAGGAUUACAAGCAUGGGCCAUCAUGCCAAGCUAAAAUCUUGCUUUUUAUAGUCAGUCAAAAGAUCAACCAAAUUCCUUCUUCCUUGCUUCAUGAGGAACUCAAAGAUAAAUAUCCUAGCACUUCUUUUAAAAAGUAGUGGUAAUAAUGCUGUAUUUUGUAUGGGAAAUGUAGUAAGAAAAUUUGGGGGAAGAGUUAUAGUGAACCUUUGAAAACUCUUAGGGUUAAAAAUGUUGUACAGGACUAUGGGUAUAUAUAGCUCAGUAGUAAAACACCUGCCUCACAUGUGUAAGGCCUUGGGCUGAUUCCCAGCAUCUCACAUGCAAAAAAUUAGUACUGUUAUGCAAACAUAAAACAUACAGAUUUUUAAUAUGCUCAAUGACAUAUUAAGAGUAAAGUUAUUAAUUAUAGACUAUUAAAUUCAAGGCAGCCAAAUAUACUUGAAUUUGCAUAAUAUUUAUUAUUUUAGAAGUAAGUUGUUACAUAACACCUUCUUUUUAUUGAGCAGAAAGUGACAUUUGUUAUUCCUUUCUUUUAUAUGUAAGUCUUAUUUCAUGAUAAUAUCUUUCAAUCUGAGCAACAUAAUUCAGUACUUCUUGAUUAUAUCAAUAUUAUAUCUAGUUGGCUUAAAAUGUCUUUAUGAAGCAGCUUUUCAUCUGCUAAUAUCAUCACUAUAACCCGUGUCCUCUUUCCUUCUUUUUUUUUUUUUUUUUGGCGAGGAUAUUGAGCCCAGGAGUGCUCUAGUACUGAGCUAUAUUCCCAGCCCUUUUUAUUUUGAGACAAAUUGCCCAGGCUAGCCUCCAAUUUGUGAUCCUCCUGCAUCAGCCUCCUGAGUAGCUGAAAUAAUAGGUAUGCACCACCACAUCCAGCUUAAUGACUCUUUAUUUAAUAUGUAGUUAUUAUAGUUAAGAUAUGAGGUGUUCCUCAAAAGCUCCUGUGUUAAUGCAGGAAUAUUCAGAGAUGAAAUGAUUGGAUUGUGAAAACUGUAACCUAAUCAGUUCUUCCUAGUUUGAAUGAACUAAUUGGGUGGUAACUAUAAGCAGGUGGAUCAUGGCUGGAGGAGAUGGGUCAUUGGGGGCAUGUUCUGGAAGGGUUCAUCUUCCCUGCAGCCCCUUUUCCCUUCCUUUUCUUUGUUUCCUGGCUAUUAGAAUCAGAACAAUUCUCCUCCUCAACACCUUUCUGCCAUGAUGUUCUUAUCUUGGGCCCAGAGCAAUUGACUCCACUGACUAUGGACUAAAUCUCUGAAACGGUGAGCCCAAAUACACUUUCUCUUCUCUAAGUAGUUGUUCUUAGGUAUUUUGGUCACAGAGACAUAAAAGCUGAUUAACACAAUAGUCAAUUCAUUAUCAUUGAACUCAUGGCCAACGCUGCUAUAACACAUGCCUGGAAAAAAGCUUAUCUAACACAUGUGUUUUCUCUGUAACAUCUGAGUCUUUUUGUACUGGACAAUACUUCAUCAUUAUGCUUAGGAUCAUUUUAAACAGCAACAAAAAACACGAAAUAUGAAAAACAAUGACACCAUAUAGACUCUAAAAAGGACACCUGUUUACAUUAUGAGAGCUGCAACUGGAAGGCAGAGAGUUGAAACUGGAAGCCUUGUUUUACCUCAGCUUGGAAUGCACUCAUGGAGCAACUCAACAUUUUCACUGCUGUGAGUGAUCAUGCCUGCAAAAGUGCCAUAAAUACUGAUUUGGGGAAUAAAAAAAUUUAACAUUUUCAAAUAUGGAAUCUGUGAAUAAUGAGGAUUGACUGUAUUUGCAGUGCCUUUGCCAAGUUCUAUAUGUUCAAAGAUGAAUAAGACUUAACUGUUAAUGCUCAACAAGCUUAAAAAUUAAUCUCAGGGGAGUGAGGUGAACAAAACUAAUAUAAUACAGUGAUGACCACUAUAAUUGAGCUAUGAGCAAGAAUAAGAUUUUUCAGGAAAAAGCACAUAAUUAUCUCUUAGUAUAUAUCAUGGGAUAGUGAGAAGACUAAUUGACUUUGAAAUCAGGACUUGGCACCAGUUCUGGCUUUGCCCUGAAACAGCUGUGUGAUUGUAUUCAAGUCCUUUAACAUUUUGAGUUUUAGUCUAUUCAUUAGAGAUAUGAGGAUGGUAAUACCUAACUUCCAGACUACUAUAGUGACAAAAGAAUCCAAUACUGAACUUGGAAAAUAGUAUGUACUCAAUCAGUUACUUGGGUUUGCGGGGGGCAUGGACAGGGAAGUAAUGGUUCACUUUACAGAAGGUGACAAUCGGCUGUGUCUUGAAGCAUGAGGAAGGUGUCUAUGGGUGCACUGUUGUGAGAGUUUUGAGUUCUAAAGCCCUUUGUAUUUUUGUACUUUAAAUUCCUCUAUCUAUUCAAGUGAGGUGCUAUGAAUGUAAUAGUUACUCUGUUAUUAUGUAUUGACAGUUUGGUUGGUUGCGUGAGUAAAAGGGGAAGGAUAUCUUUGGUAUCUCUUAGUCACAUUUGCGCAGCAACACAUUCUUGGAACACUAUAUAUUAUUAGUCUUUGGAGAUUUAGUUUGUAGUAAUUUAACAGGAGAAAUCAUGUGCUUCAGCUAGGAGUUAUAUACUCCCAUAAGUUUAUUUUGAGUACAAAAGCAUGAAAGAAAAAUGAAGGGGUGUGUGUGUGUGUGUGUGUGUGUGUGUGAGAGAGAGAGAGAGAGAGAGAGAGGAGGCAGGAAUUCUUAAGGGAGAGAUAUUUGAUUUAACAAUAUGGAUAAAUCUUGGCAAUGUCAUAUUAAGUGAAAUAGCAAUUCUUCCAAGAAUAUAUGCAAAGAUAUAAAUAUAAUCUGGAGAAAUUAGGUGGCUCUGUAACAAAAGGAUGAAAGCUAAUGUUACUAACAUGGGGCCUCAGGAUGUGACUUACUAAGAAACUUGUAGCAUGGAUUUUGUUAUAUUCUUGCCCAAAAUGAAUCACUUGAAUCCAAUCAAAGGGAAACAUCAGAAGAACCAAAAUGAAGGACAUUAAUAAAAUACCAGGCACUGACAUGUUAAAUUAUCAGACUUUCAUAAUGGUAAGGUUGUGAGGAGCAAAGAAAGGUUGAGGAAAUGUUUAAGAUUAAAGAAGACUAAAGAGAUAAGACAACUGAGCACAAUGUGUAAUUCUGGACCGGAUUACAUACUUGGAAAGCCUCUAUUAACAAUAUGUUGGGACAACUGACAAAACUUAAAAAUAGACUAUAGAUAGUAUAUAAAUAUGGUUUCAAUGUUAAAUUUGAUAAUUGUGGUUAUAUAAGAAUUUCCUUGUCCUUAGGAAAUACACACUGGCAUAUUGAGAGAGAAAAGAGUCAUGAUAUAUAUAUACACACACACACACAUACAUACAUACAACCUAUUUGCAAGUGAUUUGGAAAAUAUUAAUAAUAUAUAAAUAUAUAUAACAUAUACAUAUAUGUAAGUAUCAGUAAAGCUAUGAGAGAGUCCUUGUAUUAUCCUUACAAUUUUUUGUAAAUAUGAAAUUAUAUCAAGAUAAAAUGUGACUUCAAAAAAGAUAUAGAAAAUAAGACUAAAACAAAAAAAAGGAGGACAAACAGAAUUAUAACUACCAAGAAACCCAAAAAUAUACAGUAAACCAAAUUAGUUAUAGUAGUUAGAUAGGAUGAAACUAUAAAAAGAAAGGAUGUAUGAUGCACAGGUUUUAGCAUGAUGGUGACCAUUAAUGGUGAAAGUGGGAUAACCGGAGAAUAUUCUUAUUCUUAUUCAAAAAAUCCUGACAUUCAGGAAAGAUGAUUAUUGAAACAAGUAAUUAGGAAAAAAAACACAAACCAAAUUAAAGAAGUCCGUGCAUGGAACCUGACAAAAAUAUCAAGAAAAACUUAAUGAACAUAACCUACUCAUUUCAUUUGAAGGCAGUAGACAAAAGGAAAAAUAAAAAAGUGAGAGAAAGAUGAGGGGCAGUAGGAAAGGGAGAAAUUGGAAAAUCUUAAAUCCUUUUAAGAAAAAAGGAAAAACAAAACUCUAGAAAAAAUAAACCGACAAACAAACCAGGAAAAAAGGUGUAUCCCAGAGAAGAUAAGAAUGGAUUAGAAGAGGCAGAAGACCAACGACUCAGAAAGCUGAAGCAGAAAAAAGCCCAAGGCGAACCUGAGAAACGUAAGAGGGACACCCUAUCUCAAAAGAAAAGUGUCAGCCAAAGGGCUGAAUAAAAAGAAAGGGGAAUGUAGCUAAACAGCACACCAAGGGCUGGCCUAAUGCAAGUCUGACACUUACACAGCUGGGGUUUUCCAAAAACUUGGAGUGUUGUGGUCACUUCUGGCUUCUUCAAUACUCCGGGCUAUUAAUUAGGAGGAACCACUAGAUUAACCCAUGGCCAUAAUCACCUACAAUAAAAACUCUAUGUGCA